UUCCCACCACAUUUCUUUUUUAAAGAUGACACUCCUCCUCUCGUUACCUCCGCCUUCUUCUUCUUCGCAUUGCUUUUCCUCUUCAUUAUCUUCCUGCCACCAAUCCUCUGUCGUCGUUACCACCGGUCGCCCUAUCCGUUUCCUGCCAGUCGCGGCUACAACCACCACUCACCAUCAUCAACAGUACCUUUCUAUUGACAGGUCUUCGCUCACUGUUGCUGAAGCGGUUGAAGAGGACCAGCUUUGGGCUGCUGCUUGCCUCCGCGUUCACUCAUUCAAUGACUUCCAGUCUCCCACCUAUGGCAUCCAAGAUCAUAAAAGGUACUUGGCUGAACCGGAAUUUGUGGCGCUAAAGGAAAGAAUUGCUGGGAAGAGGGAAGGCUUUAAGAGAGUAUCUUGCAUAAACACUACGCUUCCAUUGUCACAAUUGCCAAGCUCUGCUACUGAUUUACGUGCUUCAUGUAAGUUUACUUCCAAUGGAGAGGAUAGAGUUGUUGUUGGAACCCUUGAUCUUAACCAAUGUCUUUGGCUUCCAGAAGAAAUAGCUGGAACGAAACCAGAGCCUGCUUUGACAGGGGAUUGAAGCUGAAUAUGGAAGAGCAUACCUGAGCAACAUAUGUGUAGCUAGGGAACUGUACAGAAAUGGCUUAGGUUCUGACAUUGUCAAGAAAUCAAAGAUAGUUGCUGAAUAAUGGGGCAUAACCGAUCUAUACGUACAUGUUGCCGUCAGCAACGAGCCUGCGAAGAAUUUGUACUUGAAAAGUGGUUUUAUUCAUGAAAAUGAUGAGCCUGCUUGGCAAGCUAGAUUUCUCGAUAGGCCCCGACGGAUUCUCUUAUGGAUUGGUGUUCCUUGCACUAAUGAGUUGUAAUGUUAUAGACAAAUAUCAUUGAGCUUGGUGUUC